UGCCAGGAGGAAGAGCUAAAAGGCGCCGUUGUCCUCUUGUUUGCUAACAAGCAGGAUCUUCCUGGAGCAAUGGAUGAUGCUUCGAUAAUUGAGGCCUUAGAGUUGCACAAAAUUAAGAAUCGGUAAUGGGCUAUCUUCAAAACUUCCGCCAUAAAGGGAGAGGGCCUCUUUGAGGGCCUAGACCGGUGACACACUUUCCCUGGUCAAGGUCUUCGUGACAUCCGCCUCAGUCCCGAACACACCCCUUAUUUUGCCGACCAUUGCUGGGGCGACUACCCUUCGCGAUGUCGUUGGUGAAAAUCCUAUUGAAUGGAACUACAAGGAUCUCAUGCACCGCCCCUGAAGCGUAUCUACCGAUUCACCCAUGUUAGUUGCCCCGUUUGUCUUAUGGAAUGUAUGUCAUACCUAUUUUUGGAUGGAUUGUGUUGAGGCUGUGUGAACGAUAUGUGGAAUUGAUGCAUAGACCAUUGGAGUUUUAAUUCGUGUGGUGAAAGAUGUGGUUAUGGAUUGAUGGAUAUCCGUACUUGCUUAUUGUUAGGUUUGGUGUUUGAACUGUUAAGCCCGUUUUGCGGAACAAGAUGUUGCUGUGUAGUGCUUGCUAGGC